ACACCACAGGUGAAUUGCCUACUCAAGUGGGAGCUUUUAGUAUACUACACAAAAAUUGUCGUUUCCAAUUAAUAGAAACCAAAACUGUGACGGAUUUAAAGCUCUAUCCAAAUGGGUGCUAACGGUAUUGCCAUGCAAAAUUUGUCGUUUUCUGAUUUAACUGAAACCAAAGCCGUUACGGAAUUUCAGCUUGAACCUAAAGUUAACCCUUGUUCAAUGGAGUAGGGACAUAUGCUCUAGAGACAACUCUCAACAGGUAGCAUUAAAUAUCGCAUAACAGAAUUCUUAAUUCCUGCGCAAAUUGAGAAAACAGAUAGUAUUCAUAAUUAGGAAAUCGAAACCGCAAACUGCUAAAAUCUACAAGCCAGUUUCCACAGGCCACAGGUGGAACUGUCUACAUGGUGGGUGUUUUUAAUAUACCACGAAAAGAAUUUGUCGCCUCCAAUUAACAGUAACCAAAACGGCAAUGGAUUUACUGUUGUAUCCUAGAAGGUGCUAUCUGUUCGCCCUGCAAAAUUUGUCAAUUUCUAAUUUAACUGAGACCAAAGCCGUUACAGAAUUUCAUCUUGAACCUACAGUUCAACGUUCUGCAGACAUGCUCCAGAGACAAAUUUCAACAGACAGCUAAGAAUCACAUAACAGAAUGCUCCCCCAUGAUGGACAUGAAAGGUUAA
rnacentral:lncRNA from 1 species